UUCAUGAUUUUUCACGGCGCCGCAUUGAAAAUGUCCCCGAUUUUCAUUUCAGAAAUCUGGUCACCUUAAUGUGGAGUGGAUGACAAGAUCAAGAUGAAAAGAACGAUUGAAAGCUUUUUCGUUAAAAAAGUUAAUAAGUUAAGGCCUGAUCCGAACGAAUGCUCUGACACGGAUCUCCCUUCAACUUCCCAGGUUAUGUCAGGCCCUAAUCAGGAGACGGCAUCGGCUAAUGAGCCGCACACGAUCAACUCCGAGCCACAGCCCGCCGAAAUUAAAAGGAGGAAAGUGUAUGCAUUUAGAAGAGAGUGGCUUGACCAGUUUCCCUGGCUAAGAUACGAUAAAACCGGGAACGAGAUGCACUGCAUUUACUGUAAAGAGUGUGGGAAGACCAUGGCCGGCAAUAGUGCUUUUGUGACUGGUUCCAAUACAUUUCGUAUUGAAACUCUGAAAAAGCACAAUGCAUCCAUGAAACACAUUACAUGCCGCGAUAAAUGCACUGCCACAGUGUCCCCUCUCCCCGCUGCCUUUCAGCGGCAGGAAGCAGCAAACAGAACAUCAGAUGAGGCCAAGAUGAUGAUCAAGUUUAACAUUGCCUACAAUAUUGCAAAAGAAGAACUUCCCUUCACUAAAUUCAAGUCUGAAAUAAUUCUUCACAAGAAAAAUGGCUUGAACGUAAACCCGACCUACAGCAAUGAUGUCAUGUGCGCCCAAUUUAUUGGAGUCAUCGCAGAUACUCUGAAAAAAAAUACAUCGGUGCAAAUUGCGAACAGUGCAUACAUGGCAUUCCUGAUCGACGGAGACACAGACAUCGCCAAAAAGGAAUGCGUCAUUGUGUAUGGUCGUAUCUUGCAGAGAGGAGGACCGGUGAAUAUACUGAUUGGACACAUCGAGGUCCAGCAUGCCCAUGCCCAAGGUAAAUGUCAUUUAGCCUAUGCCAUGCCUACCGUUUCAGUUCUGAGUAUGUUAUAUUGUAAUUACUGAAAAUUUAAAAAUAUAUAUUUAUAAUGAAAUGAAAAUUAAAAAGUGGAUUGCAUUAUAAACUCUUGAUCUGGGAAAUAAAUUGUAUUCUUUUUUUUAUUUGUUUAAUUAGGAAUUUAUGCUGCCUCAAAGAAAGCAUUUGCUGCUCUUGGGGACCAGUGCAGUAACUGGCUGGAGAAAAUUAUUGCUCUGGGUGCUGAUGGUGCUGCUGUUAAUUUGGGCAGCAAAGGGGGUGUCAUAGCCCUUUUGCAGCAAGAGGCAGGUGAUCACAUUGUGCCUUUCCACUGCAUGCCUCACAGAUUGGAAUUGGCAAUGCUGUCAGUGCAGAGGGACAAUCAAAUGAUGGGGCAAUUGUACGACCUUCUACAUUUAAUUUGGAAGACUUACCAUUUCAGCCCAAAAUCAAUGAGAGAGCUCAGGGUCAUUGGGGCUGACUUGGGGGUAAAUGUGCUGAUGCCCAGUGGGGUGAAGGGGACAAGGUGGCUCCCACAUGUUUCAAGGGCCUUGGAGACCUUUCUUAAACCAGGACAGUUCACUGCUGUGUACUACCAUAUGGACCAUUUGGCAAGCUCCUCUACCAAUGCAGACAUUGCAGGCCGAGCUACAAAGGCCAGUGCAUUCUUUCAGGAUAUUCCUUUCAUUAGAGCCACUUGUUAUUAAAGUAUUUUUAGGAAUUUAGUUCAUCAAUGUUCUAUGUGACUAAUUUUUAUUGUUGUAUGGUACAGGUUAAGAAAUCAAUGGAGGAUGCUACCUUUGUGGCCUUUUGCCAUGUUAUUGCAGACAUGUUCAGUGGCAUUAGUAAGUUUAGCCUCCUGCUUCAGAGGAAUGACAUCAUCUUACCACAGGCAGUUUGUGGCCUUGAAAAACUGCUGGUGACCACAGAGGCAAUGGCUGUGAGACCCAAGCCUGGGGGAAGACUGUCAGAGUUCCUGGCUGACCUGAGGCUGCAGAGGAGGAGGCAGCAAGAAAAGGGUGAAAUGGCAAUCUACAAAUUCCGGACAAUAACACUCAAAGGACAGGCAUCAGAGCUGGCAGGAG